rnacentral:lncRNA from 1 species
AUUAUGCACUUAAUGCAUAUAUCUAUAUUUGCAUAAAUGAUCUUUAAAAAAUACAUGUUAUAAAAUUCUCAUGAAUUUCAUAGCAAGUUGCAAUGUAUAAACAAUUUCUCAUUUGAUACUUCCAACAACCCUGUGGAAUUACAAGAGCUGAAGAAGAUACUUUCCCUUUUUUACAUGUGAAGAAUUGGAGGCUCAGAAAGGUAUAGUGGCUUGGUUUGAAUUGACUUGGACAGAAUGAAAGGUCAAAUCAGUGUUUUUGAGUCCAAUGCUUUCUAUUAGUUAUGAGAACUUACCAGUUAUAAAUUACUGAUACCGUAGCAUUGCCAAGCUAUGGAUUAGAGAAAAGACUUACAUGUUUCUUGCUUUUGUUUUUAGAAAAUGUAUUCCAGAAAACAUGCUUUAUGAAUGGGGUCAGAAUUUUAUUUUUCUUCAAUGUACCCAAAAUUUCCAACUCAUGCAACAAUAUAGUAAUUGAAAGAUAAUUCUGGGAUUUCAUUGUUCUGGCACUUUAAGAUGGCAUUGGGUUGGAAUUUGAUACACUCUGAUCAUCCCCAAGGUAAUAAUGUUGAUGAAAUGGCAGAACUCCUAAUUCUUCGUUAAGCAAAAUGAAUCUAACAGGUUGUUUCAAUAUUUCUAUCCUUCCAAGUGACUCUGACUUUCCACAUACAGAUUUUUAGAAUUCUUGGUGGGGGGGGGGCAACUUUAACUUUUGACAACAAUAAUAGUUGUGCCUAUUUUCUAGAGUUGCUUUCUUUGCAUAUCAGUCCUGAAUUAUCCAUUAAAGAAUUUCCUUUUUGACAUAAUCACAGCAUAAACUGAACCAUUGGGACUCCUUGGUCCAUACAGGACUUGGUCCAAACAGAGCAAGAAGCAAGUAUCUCCCUAUUUGUCAUCACAUAAAUUUUGGAAACAAACUCUCGAAAAUCAUCUAUUGGGAACAGGGAAUGUCACCGUAGUUAAAACAGUAGAAGUCAAGCUGUACCAUUUAUUAACUGAGA